ACGCUCUGUCGUCCUCGUCCGAACUUCCUCACGAUUGAUCGUUCCCGAAGCACGACGCUCCGAGGUCCGAACCUCCUGAUGACUACUUGUAGUGAUUGUUCGCGAAGAAGAACGAUGCCCCACAGUCCGAACCUCUUGCCUACUUGUAGUGAUCUUUCCCGAAGAACGAUUCUCCGAGGUCCGAACCUGCUGACGACUUGUAGUGAUCGUUCCCGAGGAACGAUGCUCCCCCGUCCGGACCUCUUCGCGAGUUGAAGAGAUCCUUCUUG
rnacentral:lncRNA from 1 species